CCUACGGGUGGCAGCAGUGAGGAAUAUUGGUCAAUGGCCGUAAGGCUGAACCAGCCAAGUAGCGUGAAGGAUGACGGCUCUACGGUUUGUAAACUUCUUUUAUAGGGGAAUAAAGGUAUCCACGUGUGGCUAUUUGCAUGUACCCUAUGAAUAAGCAUCGGCUAACUCCGUGCCAGCAGCCGCGGUAAUACGGAGGAUGCGAGCGUUAUCCGGAUUUAUUGGGUUUAAAGGGUGCGUAGGUUGGUUUUUAAGUCAGCGGUGAAAGUUUGUGGCUCAACCAUAAAAUUGCCGUUGAUACUGGAAGUCUUGAGUGUGUUUGAGGUAGGCGGAAUGCGUGGUGUAGCGGUGAAAUGCAUAGAUAUCACGCAGAACUCCGAUUGCGAAGGCAGCUUACUAAGCCAUAACUGACACUGAAGCACGAAAGCGUGGGGAUCAAACAGGAUUAGAUACCCCAGUAGUC
rnacentral:rRNA from 1 species